rnacentral:rRNA from 1 species
AUUGAACGCUGGCGGCAUGCCUUACACAUGCAAGUCGAACGGCAGCACGGGAGCAAUCCUGGUGGCGAGUGGCGAACGGGUGAGUAAUAUAUCGGAACGUGCCCAGUCGUGGGGGAUAACGCAGCGAAAGCUGUGCUAAUACCGCAUACGAUCUCUGGAUGAAAGCGGGGGACCGUAAGGCCUCGCGCGAUUGGAGCGGCCGAUAUCAGAUUAGCUAGUUGGUGGGGUAAAGGCCCACCAAGGCGACGAUCUGUAGCUGGUCUGAGAGGACGACCAGCCACACUGGAACUGAGACACGGUCCAGACUCCUACGGGAGGCAGCAGUGGGGAAUUUUGGACAAUGGGCGCAAGCCUGAUCCAGCAAUGCCGCGUGCAGGAUGAAGGCCUUCGGGUUGUAAACUGCUUUUGUACGGAACGAAACGGCGAGCUCUAAUAAAGUUUGCUAAUGACGGUACCGUAAGAAUAAGCACCGGCUAACUACGUGCCAGCAGCCGCCGCAG